GUGCCUAAUACAUGCAAGUCGAGCGGACAGAUGGGAGCUUGCUCCCUGAUGUUAGCGGCGGACGGGUGAGUAACACGUGGGUAACCUGCCUGUAAGACUGGGAUAACUCCGGGAAACCGGGGCUAAUACCGGAUGGUUGUUUGAACCGCAUGGUUCAGACAUAAAAGGUGGCUUCGGCUACCACUUACAGAUGGACCCGCGGCGCAUUAGCUAGUUGGUGAGGUAACGGCUCACCAAGGCAACGAUGCGUAGCCGACCUGAGAGGGUGAUCGGCCACACUGGGACUGAGACACGGCCCAGACUCCUACGGGAGGCAGCAGUAGGGAAUCUUCCGCAAUGGACGAAAGUCUGACGGAGCAACGCCGCGUGAGUGAUGAAGGUUUUCGGAUCGUAAAGCUCUGUUGUUAGGGAAGAACAAGUGCCGUUCAAAUAGGGCGGCACCUUGACGGUACCUAACCAGAAAGCCACGGCUAACUACGUGCCAGCAGCCGCGGUAAUACGUAGGUGGCAAGCGUUGUCCGGAAUUAUUGGGCGUAAAGGGCUCGCAGGCGGUUUCUUAAGUCUGAUGUGAAAGCCCCCGGCUCAACCGGGGAGGGUCAUUGGAAACUGGGGAACUUGAGUGCAGAAGAGGAGAGUGGAAUUCCACGUGUAGCGGUGAAAUGCGUAGAGAUGUGGAGGAACACCAGUGGCGAAGGCGACUCUCUGGUCUGUAACUGACGCUGAGGAGCGAAAGCGUGGGGAGCGAACAGGAUUAGAUACCCUGGUAGUCCACGCCGUAAACGAUGAGUGCUAAGUGUUAGGGGGUUUCCGCCCCUUAGUGCUGCAGCUAACGCAUUAAGCACUCCGCCUGGGGAGUACGGUCGCAAGACUGAAACUCAAAGGAAUUGACGGGGGCCCGCACAAGCGGUGGAGCAUGUGGUUUAAUUCGAAGCAACGCGAAGAACCUUACCAGGUCUUGACAUCCUCUGACAAUCCUAGAGAUAGGACGUCCCCUUCGGGGGCAGAGUGACAGGUGGUGCAUGGUUGUCGUCAGCUCGUGUCGUGAGAUGUUGGGUUAAGUCCCGCAACGAGCGCAACCCUUGAUCUUAGUUGCCAGCAUUCAGUUGGGCACUCUAAGGUGACUGCCGGUGACAAACCGGAGGAAGGUGGGGAUGACGUCAAAUCAUCAUGCCCCUUAUGACCUGGGCUACACACGUGCUACAAUGGACAGAACAAAGGGCAGCGAAACCGCGAGG
rnacentral:rRNA from 1 species